rnacentral:tRNA from 1 species
GGGCGGAUGGCGGAACUGGCAGACGCGCUACCCUUAGGAGGUAGUGGGGAAACCCUUGGAGGUUCAAAUCCUCUUCCGCCCACCA